rnacentral:rRNA from 1 species
GCGACCCCAGAAUUGGCGAGGCCACCCGCCGAGUUUAAGCAUAUCAAUA